CCAGCAGGCACCCCGUACAGGCUUCUGGAAACAGCCAUCACCCUGAGUUGCCCUUGGGGAACCUGAGGCCCAGAGAAAGGAGUUGCCCCCUGGGGACCCCUCAGCAAACUGCUGCUCAUGCUUCGCCGCCCCCCAGCACCACUGCCCCAUCGCUGACGGGCGGGAAAGAUUUUAAUUCACCAAGUCUUCACAUCUAACAAGUCCUCAAAAGCUGAGGAACAGCCCCAAGUCACCCACACAUAAACUUGUAUGCCACAAAAAGACGGACAGCAGCCGGGCGGGGUGGAGAGUGCCUCCCCGUGGCAUAGAACCAGCAAGCCACAAGGCAAAGCCUCCUUCCGCAGAAAACCCCAGGAAGAUGCCGGGCAUUUUAAAGGCCUGGCUAAGCUAGCAGACAGGACAUCAUUCGAAACCAGACACGACCAGAAAGACGAGUCCGGAAAGGCCUGCCAGCCUGGAGCUGGGUCUGCCCUGGGGGCAACUGCCCCUCUCUGGCAGCCCCUGAUGAGUGGGGGAGGUCUGGGGCCUUCAGAGUGGGGUCCGACUGGAGACCCCUGGAAGGUGACACCCCCAAGGAUGAAUUAGAAACAGCCACCCGCCAGAGGAAACAGUUGAGGUACUUCCCAGUCCCUGCCUUCCCUUUGGGUGAAGCAGGAAAAAAAAAAAAAUCUCCUGGGAAUUCCUAAUCACAAGCCACCCUGACAGGGCUGCAGGCCUCACCCGACACCGAAUUCACUCUUGUGUGGUUCCAGAACUCCAAGCCAAAAACUCAGCUUCAGGGGGUCCUGUGAGGCAGUGUCCACAAGCGCCAGCACAAACCCUCCUUGGAGGAGAAAACUUUGAACCCAGGUGUCCAAGAAUUACCAUAGAUAAAAUUCCACAGAGCAUGCACUGGCAAUCAAAAAUCACACAACACAAAGCAAAGCAGCCUCACCACAAGGAGGCAGCACGCAGCCACGGGCACAGCCAGACCUGUGCAGGCCGCAGGCAUGGGGCCCUUCAGGUAAAGAAGACAAAACCCCAGCCAGUCACGGUGGCUCACGCCUGUAAUCCCAGUGCUUUGGGAGGCUGAGGCGGACGGAUCACGAGGUCAGGAGUUCAAGACCAGCCUGGCCAAGAUGGUGAAACCCCGUCUCUACUAAAAAAAAAAAAUACAAAAAUUAGCCAAGUGCGGUGGCACACGCCUGUAAUCCCAGCUACUCGAGAGGCUGAGGCAGAGAACUGCUUCAAUCCGGGAGGUGGAGGUUGCAGUGAGCCGAGAUCACACCACUGCACUCCGGCCUGGGUGACAAAGUGAGGCUCCAUCUCAAAAAAAAAAAAAAAAAAGAAGAAGACAAAACGCCACACUGGAAAGCAGACGGGGCCUCACACAUAAGAAGACAAGGAAAUGUGGAGAAGCGACAGCUGCUGCUUAGACAGAAAGGAUGACGUUGGAAUGCUGUCACUGGCUCCUAAAACUCUGGAAUUUCAGUAAUAAACAGGUAUUUACCUACUCAAUACUUUAAACACCUUCAAGUACUCCCCACAACGUAUUAAUUGCAAAAGGAAAAAUAGUAACAUUGCAGUGAAGGGUCCAGGAGGAAGGGGGUCGCCUUGGCAAGUGACGGGUCCACGUCGGCACCCUGAGAAAAUGAGCAUCAUGGGGAGUCGGCGUCUCUGAGGAGGACACAAUACCAUCUAUGCUUUUCCUGCCAAAAAUGCGUAACUGGCUGGGCGUGUUGGUGCACACCUGUCGUCCCAACACUUUUAGGAGGCUGACGUGAGUGGAUUGCUUGAGUCCAGGAGUUUGAGACCAGCCUGGGCAAUAGAGCAAAACCCCAUCUGUACAAAAUUAGCCAGGACUACAUAGUGGUCCUUGCCUGUAAUCCCAGCACUUUGAGAGGCUGAGGUGGGAAGAUCACCUGAGCCCUGGAGUUUGGGGCUGCAGUGAGCUGUGAUUGUGCCACUGCACUCCAGCCUGGGUGACAGAGCAAGACCCUGUCUCAAAAGAAGUAACAAAUUAAAUUAAAAUAAAAAUGCACAACUACAUCUGGCCACAAGCAACAUCAGACUAGUCCCCACUGAGGCGCUUUUAAAAGUCUGUCCUUUGAAACUAUGUCAAGGUCAAUGAAGGACAAGGAAGACAGGAACAGUUGGAAGAAAGGAGAAAAGGUUGGCUCAGUGCUCUGUGUUACGUGAACUGGAUCACGGAUUGGAGGAGAAAUCGCUAUGAUGGGAAUCACUGGGACACUGAAGCAAUUUGAUUAUGGCCUGAGGAUUAUUAGAUACUAGGAUUGUAUCAGUGUUGAAUUUCCUGAUUUUGAUAAUUACACUGUGGUUAUGUAAGAGAAUGUCCCUGUUCUUAAGAAACACAGCCUUAAUAAAUUAGGGGUAAAAGAGUACAAUGUCUUCAACCCAACUUUUAAAUAGUCCGGAAAAAAAUAUAAUAUGAUUAUACACAAAUAAAUGGGGCAAAAUGCAAGCACUUGGAAAAUAUGGGUGGGAGGCAGGAGUGGAGGGCCACCUGUAUCUUCUCUGUAAGAAAUUAUACAAAAUGUAAAGUCACAAAAAAUUUUGUUAACAGCCAAGAAUACAACAGACAAGGCCACAAACGCACCAAUGAUUGAGGCUGGGUUUUGGAAAACCACUGUGAAUCCAGAGGAAAGGAGUGGAAGAGAAAGUAAAGACGGAGGCAGAGAAGACAUCAAAGCUGCUGCAGCAUCACGGGGUCCUACAGCUAGAGAACUAAAUAACUGGGUCAGCGAUCUAAUAGAAGAAAAUAUGCCCGAGACUAAACAAGGACGGAAUCCACAAGUCACGAGAGCUAAAUCAGUAAAAACACAAACAGACAAAACGUCCCCAAAAAAUCCAGUUAAGUGGAUUGUGCUUAUUGCGAAAAACACACCUAAAACAAAGUGACCUUGAGUGAAAGGACAGACCAAGGCGGACAGCGGCUCUGCAGUGACCUCGAGUGAAAGGACAGACCAAGGCGGACAGCGGCUCUGCAGACGCUGCCACACCCCAGCAGGACCUGAGGCCCCGGUGGAACCCAGACUCCAGAAGCCUUGAGGCCCAGGUGUCCACAAGACAAAAGGAAUCACUUUCUGAAGGAGCCGCUCCGUGGAUGGGGAUCUAAGUCCCAUAGCUAAAGGCACACACAUCCAUGAGCUGCCAGUUCCAGGGGUGCAGGACGCCCCGAUGGAGGUGGUGAGAGGAGGCACAGGCCCCUCCACGGGAGCAUGGCCGGCCCAGGAGGCAAGACCAAGCAGAAAGGGUGGGGUGUCCUCUCCGUGGAAUUUGCACAGCUGAGCAUAUCAUAGGUCACAAAAAAACCUCAAUAAGGUGUCCAAAAUAAAAAGUGAAAUCUCAUCUUCUGAACACAAGUCAAUAAAAUGAAGGGGGAGGAGGGGGAGGGAAGCUGCGCCCCAGGGCUGUGAGCUCCGCCACCGCCUCCCCACCCUCCCUGCACGCCCCUGUCCGACCCUUCCUCGGC
rnacentral:lncRNA from 1 species